GUGCGUGCGUGGACCAAGGCCCUAUUGCGUGGACUUGUCGAUAUCGUCGAUAUGUUGUUACCUAUAUGGACUAAUUACCAUUGAUUAAAGAUGUCAUAUGUCUUCUUACCAAUAUUUUUCUUAUUUUAACUAUGCUCAUCUUCCCUGCUAAGUUGAAGUCUUUGCAUUGCUCACCUUGACCUUUCCCGUUUUUCUGCUCUGAUAUCGUAUAAGUAUAAGGCAUUUAUCAUGUUUGGGCCAAAUUAUGUGAUAAUAGUCCACAGUUCUGCAAAUGUGGGAUGUUUCAUUUGCAUGGAGAGCACUAUUGAACAACAUAUCCUCAGGCCUCAGGAGCAUGAGGACGAGGAGUGGUUUACCAAUGAAAUGGAUGAACAAACCAGGAUAUAUUAAUUUAUACAUAGUCCUGCUUGCAAAUCAAGUCUGGUUCCUCGAUUCAAGUAUCUAAGACUGAUUCAAGCAGAAUAUGGACCCUGAUUCAUCACACACCAAGCCUGACAGUUUACAUGAAGUAUGUGGCUUUGACUGGAAUGUUAAGGUUGUCUUGGCAUCCAGUUCAGCAGGCAUGAUGUAUGAACCUCUCACUUCAGUCAACUUCAAGACAUCUGAGGGCAAGGAUGUGACACUGGAGCUGACCAAGGGGCAGCUGGAUGAGCUCAUCUCUGCGAUGGAUGCUGCUGUCAAGGCUACCUCAGAACUAGAAAGAUAACAUGCAUCACCUCUAUUCUCUUCAUCUCAUUUAUCAUAGCCAUUGCCAUCAGAAUAUGUUGUUUCAUCACAAGUGCUUGAGAUAUAUCAUGAAAUAAACAAAUUACGAAAACUUAA